UGCCAGGAACCAUGCGAGGAACCGCCGCCUAACUCCGCCAGGUCCGGAAGGAAGCAACGGUAAGCGGUUGGUUUCGGCGCCGUGGAUAUCCUGGCGGGG
rnacentral:SRP_RNA from 1 species